rnacentral:sRNA from 1 species
CCUCGACAAGUUAAAACACAGCAAGAGCAGUGAUGGAAACCAACCUCUUUUAUUUUGUAUAUUUUUUGAUAACAUUGCAGGGGAUCGAAAGUAAAUGCUUGCCUACGGAGCUGUCUAUCGUGACCAAGAAUUUGUACCAAACAAAAACAACCUGCAAUACAAACUGUCCAGUCAACCAGUACAUAUAUCAACAAGCCUGCCUUCAAGACUGUCCGCCAUUUACUUCUAAGAAUGACAAUGGGUUUAUAAAGUACUGUAAAAAUUCCGCCAUAAAUGAAUUGGAAUGCCCAAGUGAAUUUUGUAAUCCGAGAUAUCCGUAUUGUUUCAAAGAAAAUUGUUUAAGUUCAUGUCCAGAAUACACUGUUAGCCAUAAUGGCUCGUGUCUAAUAAAUUGUCCAAAAGAAUCGCCAUAUAUAACGGCGUCUUGCAAUGGAGUGUGCUACACUGGGGCUAAGUUUUGUUCUAAGACGUGUCCAAGCUCUCAUCCAUAUAUUUUCAGUUCCCUGAAACUUUGGCACUGUUUAGUGGAAUGCCCAGACUAUACCGUGCUAGAUAAAAGGAUGUAUAUGUACUCGUCUCCGAAGUUGGUGGUUAAAUCGAAAACUUUAAAGAUAUCAGGAUAGGGGCCCUGAAUAUGCAUAUUUAAAUGAUGAAACUGGAAGCAACGAAAGCAGAUAUGAAAACUCUGUCGAUGAAAAUAUAACGAUGAUAUUGAAACUAAAUGCUUGCCCACAGAAUUGUCUGUCCUGUCCAAGCAGUGGUCCCAGACGAUAACAAGUUGCACAAAAAGCUGUCCUGUGAACCAAUACAUAUUCCAACAAGCUUGCUUAAAAGAAUGUCCUCAAUUUACUACUCAAAUUGACAAUGGGUUUAUAAAGUACUGUAUAAAUCCCUUCGUAAAUGAAUUGGAAUGCCCAAG